ACGAAUUUCAGGGGUUGUGCUGGUUCUUACAAGUGCACACCUCUUAAUUCCAUUCACACCCACCGUGCACUUUAAGAGACGUAUUUCCCCCGUUUACGUGCCUUUAUUGGCUUGGGAUUUCGUCUGUUUUCAUACACUCUUAUUUUGUAUUAGAAUGUAAUCUAGCGGAAACGCUGAAACAUAAAA
rnacentral:misc_RNA from 1 species